rnacentral:rRNA from 1 species
GUUAGGAAUAUUGGACAAUGGGCGCAAGCCUGAUCCAGCCAUGCCGCGUGAGUGAUGAAGGCCCUAGGGUUGUAAAGCUCUUUCACCGGAGAAGAUAAUGACGGUAUCCGGAGAAGAAGCCCCGGCUAACUUCGUGCCAGCAGCCGCGGUAAUACGAAGGGGGCUAGCGUUGUUCGGAAUUACUGGGCGUAAAGCGCACGUAGGCGGACAUUUAAGUCAGGGGUGAAAUCCCGGGGCUCAACCCCGGAACUGCCUUUGAUACUGGGUGUCUGGAGUAUGGAAGAGGUAAGUGGAAUUCCGAGUGUAGAGGUGAAAUUCGUAGAUAUUCGGAGGAACACCAGUGGCGAAGGCGGCUUACUGGUCCAUUACUGACGCUGAGGUGCGAAAGCGUGGGGAGCAAACAGGAUUAGAAACCCCUGUAGUCC